AGCAGCUUUUCUAGAGCAUCAGAGUCUUCCUCAGUCAAUGGAGUGCCUGCAAACACACCCAGCAAUGUUGACACAGGGAAGGAUCAGAACUAAGUUAUGAGAUUCAAAAAAAGUUCACAUGCAUAGAAGUGCACUGAUAUCGCUCCUAUUGGCCUCACCACAAAUGAGUGACUGACUAAGUUUAAAUAACCGGAUGUCCCUGUGAUGAGAGCUGACUCGAUCAUAAGCUGGCUAGAAAGUGAGCAAGCAAGCAACCCUAACUGGAUCUAUAUCAUACUAUUAUGUUACAGUUCAUUUUACAGUUUUACAUCAUUCAUAAUUUGACAUUUUACAACAUUCAUAUUGACCAGAAACUCAGUGGAAUAAAAAGACCCCAGCCAUGUCUCACAUUCUCUUAUAUAGCAUGAUCAGACAAGGUAACAGCAUGCCCAGAGAGUCCUUCCAGAUGGAUAUCACCAUAUGCCUAAUUUUCAUGGGUCAAAUAUUUGUGGUUUUCGUGGUUGAGGCUCUAACCACGAAUAUUUUACCCACAAAAAUUACCAGCUAUAUGGUAUACAUGUAUUUACAAUAGUAGUGCAAUCCUUUGAUG